ensembl:lncRNA
ACGCUGCCUGAGCCUCUGCCUCCACCACAACCCAAGGCGCCACAGCCGCAAAAAUCCGAGCCAUUUUCCACUCAGUCGCCUCAGCCGCUGCCGAGAGCUUCGGCGGACACCGCGGCCAGCCAAGCAUAGACGUCACUUCCGGUCGGGAAAGCACCGCCUUCCGCACCCAGGCUUCUUUCGGAUUGGCUGGUGCGGAGGGCCUACCUGAGGUAGUGGGCGGGGCUUGGGUGAGUCGCGUGAGGCUCUAACUCCCGUAGCUGCGAAUGAGUCGGGCUCCUGGGGUAUAGUGCCCAGCAGGCUUGGGAUGUCUCUUUGUGCAGCCCCAGACCAGAGGAGAGGGACUCCGGGGACCCCAGUCGGCCACCUCUCAAACCCAGCGUCCAAAGCGCCCCCCAGCCACUGAACUACUUUACUGUUCCCGUGCCCUCUUCUUGGACUCUGCGCUCGUCUCCAUCCGGACGGCAGCUCCCAGAUUCGUGGUUUUGGCCCCAGGCCUGCGGACAUUAGCUUGUGAUUGGAGGAUUGAAAGGAACAGGGAAGAUAUAAAAUCGUUCACUCCAACCAGCGUCUACCGUUUCCUCACAGUGGAUCAGGUGCUGCGGGGUGUGUAAUUAGUAGUCCGCCCAUCACGUGGAGUGUUUAAAGUGCUUUCGCAUCAUAUUUAAUCCUCACAACAGCCAGGCUCUGAUCAAUCAAAAGGGUCCUAAUAAGAAGAAGAAGAAAGGCAGCUUGAUGGUUCUCCAGAUUCCAAAAAAGCAGCAUUCACAAACUGCCAAGUGUCAAGAAUCUGAAAUGGUAGCCCUCUCUAAGUUCAUCUCAUCUCUGACAAUGAGCAUAUGAAGAUGCAUGUGUGAACAAUAGAAACAAACUUCUAGGAGAAAGUGCCAACUGAUGCUGCUAUCUUUUGGAACCAAAUAGGACAUAGCUGGCACCAUUUCUCCUCUUUCCCUUCUCCCACUGGCUUCAAUAUUAAGAUUUAAAGGUAGAGGAAAGAAUUGAUGAGGAGGCAUUAUAUUUUUAAGUGUUCCAAUCCUAACCUUCCAAUCCUAACAGAGAAUGUCACAGCACCAUAAAUAUCCCUAAACUUCUUUCAAUACUAAAUGAGAAAUGGACAACCCUGUUUUGCCACAGGUAAACAAUACUGACUGACAUUUAUUGAGCAUUUUUGAAGGCCAGCCCCUGUUCUUAGUGCUUUAUGAGUCAUGGAGAGGAAAUUACAAGAAUCCCUCCAACAAGCUUAUAAAAUGAUACCAUUAUGAUAUCCUUAUUUUAUAGCUGAGGAAUUUGAGGAACAGAGGACAUAAAUAAUUUGUCCAGGGUUACACAGUUACUCAAUAGUCUGUUGUUUAGUCGCUAAGUCAUGUCCAACUCCUUGUGACCCCAUGGACUUUAGCACUCCAGGCUACCCAGUCCUUCACUGUCUCCCGGAG